rnacentral:rRNA from 1 species
GACGGAGGGAGCAAGCGUUGUCCGGAAUCACUGGGCGUAAAGAGCUCGUAGGCGGGAGCCUAAGUCCGAGAGUAAAUCUAUCGGCUUAACCGAUAGCUCAUCUUGGAUACUGGGUUUCUUGAGGACAGGAGGGGAAAGGGGAAUUCCUAGUGUAGCGGUGAAAUGCGUAGAUAUUAGGAGGAACACCUGUGGCGAAGGCGCCUUUCUGGACUGAUCCUGACGCUGAGGAGCGAAAGCCAGGGGAGCGAACGGG